rnacentral:rRNA from 1 species
UACGGAGGGGGGCUAGCGUUGUUCGGAAUUACUGGGCGUAAAGCGCGCGUAGGCGGCUUUGUAAGUUAGAGGUGAAAGCCCGGAGCUUAACUCCGGAACUGCCUUUAAGACUGCAUCGCUAGAAUUGUGGAGAGGUGAGUGGAAUUCCGAGUGUAGAGGUGAAAUUCGUAGAUAUUCGGAAGAAACACCAGUGGCGAAGGCGACUCACUGGACACAUAUUGACGCUGAGGUGCGAAAGCGUGGGGAGCAAACAGGG